rnacentral:lncRNA from 1 species
UCUUUCUCUCUUACCUAUCUAAUGUCCGUGCUGGAAGGCGACGGUUCCGAGCGGUAGUCCUCAUGCUGGGAUGGCAGAAGAUAACCCUGAUGCUAAGAGCCCCAAGACUGGGGCAAGGCCCCAAGGUGGUGCUGAGGCUGGGGAACCUACCACCCUUCUCCAGAGGCUCCGAGGUACCAUUUCCAAGGCCGUGCAGAACAAAGUAGAGGGGAUUCUGCAAGAAGUACAGAAGUUCUCAGACAACGACAAGCUGUACCUCUACCUGCAGCUUCCUUCAGGGCCCAGCACUGGAGAUAAGAGCUCGGAGCCGAGUAUACUGAGCAAUGAGGAGUACAUGUACGCCUACAGGUGGAUCCGCAACCACCU